UCCGUAGGGUGCAAGCGUUGUCCGGAAUUAUUGGGCGUAAAGAGCUCGUAGGCGGUUUGUCGCGUCGAAUGUGAAAACCCGGGGCUCAACCCCGGGCCUGCAUUCGAUACGGGCAGACUAGAGUUCGGUAGGGGAGUCUGGAAUUCCUGGUGUAGCGGUGAAAUGCGCAGAUAUCAGGAGGAACACCGGUGGCGAAGGCGGGACUCUGGGCCGAUACUGACGCUGAGGAGCGAAAGCGUGGGGAGCAAACAGG
rnacentral:rRNA from 1 species